AGAACGAACGCUGGCGGCAUGCCUAAUACAUGCAAGUCGAACGAAGGCUUCGGCCUUAGUGGCGCACGGGUGCGUAACGCGUGGGUAUCUGCCCCUUGGUUCGGAAUAACAGUUGGAAACGACUGCUAAUACCGGAUGAUGGCGAAAGUCCAAAGAUUUAUCGCCAAGGGAUGAGCCCGCGUAGGAUUAGCUAGUUGGUGAGGUAAAGGCUCACCAAGGCGACGAUCCUUAGCUGGUCUGAGAGGAUGAUCAGCCACACUGGGACUGAGACACGGCCCAGACUCCUACGGGAGGCAGCAGUAGGGAAUAUUGGACAAUGGGACGAAAGCCUGGAUCCAGCAAUGACCGCGUGAGUGAUGAAGGCCUUAGGUUGUAAAGCUCUUUACCGAUAUGAUAAUGGACAGUAUACGGAAGAAGUAACGCCCCGGACUAACCGUCCGCCGCCACGCAG
rnacentral:rRNA from 1 species